GCCCUAGUAACGGCGAGUGAAGCGGCAACAGCUCAGAUUUGGAAUCUGGCCCCCAGGGCCCGAGUUGUAAUCUGGAGAGGAUGCUUCUGGCGCGGCGCCUUCCGAGUUCCCUGGAACGGGACGCCGGAGAGGGUGAGAGCCCCGUACGGUUGGACGCCUAGCCUUUGUGAAGCUCCUUCGACGAGUCGAGUAGUUUGGGAAUGCUGCUCAAAAUGGGAGGUAAAUUUCUUCUAAAGCUAAAUACCGGCCAGAGACCGAUAGCGCACAAGUAGAGUGAUCGAAAGAUGAAAAGCACUUUGAAAAGAGGGUCAAACAGUACGUGAAAUUGUUGAAAGGGAAGCGCCCGUGGCCAGACUUGUGCCCCGCGGACCACCCGGCGCCCUCAGCGCCGGUGCACUCCGCGGGGCGCAGGCCAGCAUCGGUUUUCCUAGGGGGAUAAAGGCGGCGGGAACGUGGCUCCCUCGGGAGUGUUAUAGCCCGCCGUGCCAUGCCCCUGGGGGGACCGAGGACCGCGCUUCGGCAAGGAUGCUGGCGUAAUGGCCACCGGCGA
rnacentral:rRNA from 1 species